NNNNNNNNNNNNNNNNNNNNNNNNNNNNNNNNNNNNNNNNNNNNNNNNNNNNNNNNNNNNNNNNNNAAAUAUACCAAAAAACACCUGGGCCUGAGGAUGGCUCACCUGAAAUAUACCAAGAAACACCUGCGCCUGAGGAAGGCUCACCUGAAAUAUACCAAGAAACACCUAGGCCUGAGGAAGGCUCACCUGAAAUAUGCCAAGAAACACCUGGGCCUGAAGACUAUUCAUCUGAAAUAUACCAAGAAACACCUGGGCCUGAAGAUCUUUCUACUAAGGCAUAUAAAAAUAAGGAUCUGCCCAAAGAAUGCUUUCCAGAACCACAUCAAGAAACAGGUGGGCCCCAAGGCCAGGAUCCUAAAGCACACCAGGAGGAUGCUAAGGAUGUUUAUACUUUUCCUCGAGAAAUGAGAGAAAAACCCAAAGCAGAAGAACCAGAGAUACCAGCAAUUGCAAAUGUUCCUCAAGAAAUUCAUCCAGAAAAUGACGUCUUUAGUUAUGUUUUGUUUUAACAAUGCUCAACCGUCAAUAGUUGUCCAACAAAAUACACAUCUUAAUAUAUUACGUGUGUGAUUUUUUCAAAACACUGUAGAUCUCUACAAUACUCAUUAAUAUUUUUACAUUUUCUUUUUCUCAUGUAUAGACUCUGAGAGAAUGAAGGUAUUUUUUUCAGGCCCUGUUAUAUAGAUGAUAUCCUGCUAGUGUUUGCGUGUGUGUGUGUGCAUGUGUGUGUGUGUGUGUAUACAUAUAUGCAUAUUGGGGUGAGGAUAGUGGUGGGGGAGAGAGAGAAAUGUGAAAGGAAUGGCUGAGUAAUUGAUCACCCAUCAAGAACCUUUAAUUCUAUAUUUUAUUUAUUUUUUCCUUGGUUAAUUCUUAAAAGUAGAGAAACUAUUGUUUGAACACUUAAAAUCUGGGGGAGUAAUAGUUUUCUUGUAAACUUUGUUCACUUAUCCAUGUAACAAUAGCAUCAACAUUUUAUUCAGACUUUGGUAGUCUAAAAAGUUAAUUUUAACAAUUAUUCUGGGACUCCUUCCAAGAUAUUUUGAGGAGAUGAGUGAUCAACGCAGUUUCCUGGAGUGUUUGAAUUUUGAUUUUCUUUUUCCUUUUUAAAUAUUGUAUUUGUGCAAAAUGUACAUUAAAUCUUUAUUACAUGUUUCACCGUUUGGACAGCAUCCUGAUAAGCGCCGCGAGGAUUAGAACACCUAUAACACAUAGUCCUUACCCUCCAGGGGUUUAAUCUUGUCUCGUGGGGGGAAUAAAACAGAACACAAAUAACAGUAAUGCUAGUGUUGUUUGAAGAGUAGACACAAUAGAGGAAACACUCACUUUUUUUUUUUUGCUGGAGUGACCUGAAAAAAAUCACAUCUUCGAGGAGUCUUGAAAGGUGGAAAAGAUUUGUACUGUAGGCGAGGAUUGUGGCCUCACUGUAUGUGACACAGAGAAGGAUGAAUUCAGCAUAUAUUCAAGGGAACUGCAUACAAACUACAGUUAAUGCACGGUCUGUGUGGAACAGCAGGCUAAUAGGCUGAAAGUCUCAUAUCAGAGUGGACAGAAUUUUGCACACCUAAGAAGUAUGUGUUAGGUAAUGUGGAACAAAGUAAGACUUGAACAAUGCGGUUUUAGUAUUUUAAGACUUUCUAUCUUGUAAUGGUCAGGGUUAGCUGAAAAUUAUAAGAGACUGGGGGCAUGAAUAGGAAUUAUUUUGUGGGGGAAGAUAUCUGAACGCCCCCCCCCCCAGUAUUUUGGCGGGGGCGCUGUUUGCAGUUUUCCAUCUGUUAUUACAGAAGACUCAAAGGAAGGGGAUUUUUGCAGGUAAGGGUUUAGUUCAGCAAGGAUGCGAUUAUAUAAGCUCCCCAUAUAGGUAUAGAGGCACUGUGCUAAAUGCUAAGCUAGACAGCUAAGAACAAGACAGAAUCCCAGUCUCAUAAGCAUCACAGUGUAGAAAGAGCUUCUCAACCCUCAGGGUCCAUCAGAACCACUGGGGAAGAUUUCCAAAUCACAGCUGUCAAGACACCUCCCCAAGGAUUCUGAUUUACCUGUCUAGGAUGGGAUCCAGGCAUAGAUACAUUAAUUGUUAAGUAGGUUUUUUUUUGUUUUAAAUAUUGUUUGAGAAAUAAUUUUAGAAAUUAC
rnacentral:lncRNA from 1 species